rfam:Oryza meridionalis cultivar OR44 (W2112) chromosome 3, whole genome shotgun sequence.
UUUAAGUACAACUAUAAGUUUCCGUAUCUAACUUUGACCGUCUGUUUUAUUUGAAAAUUUUGUAUAAUUAGUAUUUUUAUUGUUACGAGAUAAUAAAACAUGAAAAUUACUUUAUACGUGUCUUAUGUUUUUAAAUUUUUUUAAAAAAAUUUAAAUAAGACGGACGGUCAAAGUUGCGUACGGAAAAUUAUGGCUGUAUUUAAA